CUCUCUCAAUCAAAAAUAAAUAAGCGUUUAAAAUUUUUUAAUAAAAAAGAAAUGUUUGUUGGGUGAAUGACAACUGCGGGAACUCUCCAGGGAUCCCCUUUAGUCUCCACAGAAACUCUCCAGGAAUCUUCUCCCUGGGGCGAUCUCAAUGGAUCUUUGGUGAUCCCCUGAUGAUACAGCCUCAGUGGAUUCUCAGGACCCCUGUGCUGCAUAGCCUGAUGAACCCUCCUGAGAUCCUGUCCUUACACGACCUCGGAGAAUCUCCAGAGAUCUAAUAAAGUUUCAGUGGAUCCUCAGGGGCUCCUUCCUGACACGGCCUCAGGCAGUCUCAUGGGAUUCUCUCCUGGUGGAGCUCAGGAAGGCCCCAGGGAUUUCUCUCUGCUGUACAGCCCGGAGGCCUCAGAAAUCCCCCUAGGAGACUGGCUCCUAACAGUAUCAGGGGUCCCCUACAGACAUCACUGGAGACCUUAGGGGUUUUCAGCGGCUUUUCCGGCUUGUUGCAAGAGUCUGCAAGGUGACGGGGCAAAGAUGAUGGAAGUAGAAUUUACAUAGAAAAAUGGACAGUAGUUAGCAACUGGUUGGAUGCAAUUAUGACAUCUUAGAUCGGUUAUCCCCGUAGCUUGAGGAUGCUUGCCCGCCUCACAUCUCUUAGGAGAAGGAGCCAGACCAAUACCAAGGUUGAUGAAGGCUUCAAGACCCACUGAGCAAAAGAGCUAGCAGUGCCACGACAGGAACAGGAGAGCAAGAGGUCAGCCUGUUUGCAGCCUAGGUGUACGACUGCUUGAGGAUGAACUGGGUUGAUGUCACAGAGAUGGAGUGUAUUCAGCUGUUAUAUUAUUUAUGACUCUCCGGAUGUCGACGAAAUAUUGACAACACGUGAUGAUUACGGAGCCUCCACUGCUGUGUCCGUGAGCAGACUCUUGGAAAAGCCUGCAUUCGUGCGACAAUGAAUGAGCGAUGAGCUACCUGGUGGACCGGCCCGGACUCUCGUCCUAGAGGCUUUAGAACCUCGGUCAACACACCCUUCUCAGGUCACGGCUGCUGUGCUUGUCCACAUACCAUCAAAACUGGGCAGAGAGGCAGGCUCAGGCCAUCGGGAGUUGCCUGAGGCCCACCCACGCUGGGAAGAGGGUCUGCUUUGCUGGGCCUGCCAAUUCAAAUUCAAAUUUCAUCUGGAAACACCAUCACAGAUAUACCCAGAAUGAUACUCAAUCUGGGCACCCCACGGCCAGUCAAACUGACACAAAAAAUUACCCAGCCCCCAGUAAGCCUCCUACAGGAGCAAUUCCUCAAAUCCACCGUCUCAGAUGAGACAAAUGUCCCCAAGCUCAGGCUUGCUGCCUCAUGGUCACAAGAUGGUGUCACAACUCCAUCUAUCAUGUGCUCCUGCCAGUAUCCCAGCCAGAAAGGGAGGGAAGG